AAGAACAUACUUCACAGGACUAUUUCUGUAGUAUGCAUCGUCCCCUCCAGGUGCAAAUCUGGAGUCGACGUUGGCCAAAAUGAUGCUAGCCACUCUCCCAUUUUCUUGAACGUGAGAAAGUUGCUGGAUUGUCAUUUUAUUGGCCAGUUAGCGACGGUGAUCGCAACCGGAUCUUGAAUCCGGGUGAUAGAUAUACAGUCUGAGUGGU